rnacentral:rRNA from 1 species
UGGGGAAUAUUGCACAAUGGGCGCAAGCCUGAUGCAGCCAUGCCGCGUGUAUGAAGAAGGCCUUCGGGUUGUAAAGUACUUUCAGCGAGGAGGAAGGCAUUGUGGUUAAUAACCGCAGUGAUUGACGUUACUCGCAGAAGAAGCACCGGCUAACUCCGUGCCAGCAGCCGCGGUAAUACGGAGGGUGCAAGCGUUAAUCGGAAUUACUGGGCGUAAAGCGCACGCAGGCGGUCUGUCAAGUCGGAUGUGAAAUCCCCGGGCUCAACCUGGGAACUGCAUUCGAAACUGGCAGGCUAGAGUCUUGUAGAGGGGGGUAGAAUUCCAGGUGUAGCGGUGAAAUGCGUAGAGAUCUGGAGGAAUACCGGUGGCGAAGGCGGCCCCCUGGACAAAGACUGACGCUCAGGUGCGAAAGCGUGGGGAGCAAACAGG